rnacentral:rRNA from 1 species
GACGAACGCUGGCGGCGUGCUUAACACAUGCAAGUCGAACGAAAAGGCCCUGCUUUUGUGGGGUGCUGUAGUUGCGAAGUGGUGACUAACACGUGAGUAACGUGUACUUCCCUGUGGGAUGUCUUCAUGAAAGUUGGGCUAAUACCGGAUAGGAUCUCCGGCUUCAUGGUGGGGGUUGGAAAGUUUCGGCGGUUGGGGAUGGAAUCGCGGCUUAUCAGCUUGUUGGUAGGGUAGUGGCUUACCAAGGCUUUGACGCGUAGCCGGGCUGAGAGGGUGACCGGCCAAAUUGGGACUGGGAUGCGGCACAGACUACUACGGGACGCAGGAGUGGAGAAUAGUGCACUAUGGGAGGAAGCCAGAUGCAGCAAAGCCGCGUGGGGGAUGACGGCAAUCGGGUUGUAUUCCGCUUUCGCCUGUGCCGAAGCGUGAGUGACGGUAAUGGGUAAAGAAGCACCGGCUAACUACGUG